UACGUAGGUGGCAAGCGUUGUCCGGAUUUACUGGGCGUAAAGAGCGCGCAGGCGGUCGAUCAAGUCGAGUGUGAAAGCCCCCGGCUCAACUGGGGAGGGUCAUUCGAUACUGAUCGACUCGAAGGCAGGAGAGGGUAGUGGAAUUCCCGGUGUAGUGGUGAAAUGCGUAGAUAUCGGGAGGAACACCAGUGGCGAAGGCGGCUUCCUGGCCUGUUCUUGACGCUGAGGCGCGAAAGCUAGGGGAGCAAACGGG
rnacentral:rRNA from 1 species